rnacentral:rRNA from 1 species
AUGGAAAUUAGUAUUUUCUCUGAUCCAUAUUACUUGUUGACUUGGGCAUCGCUCAACGCCAAAUUCUUCAUCUGGCUGGCUCUUUUGGACUGUUGCUGGACUAGCGAGCGUCUGGCCCGACACGGCCUGCCUCAUAGCCCACCUUGCAUCUUCUGUGAUCAAGCCCACGAGUCCAUGCAACACAUCCUCAUUGGGUGCCCUCUCUCGCGCGCGGUCUGGCACGAUGUCUACUCCGCCCUGAGCCUAACUACUACCGGCUCAAUGCCAGUUUGUAACUUGACCCUCUUCUUUAUGUUUGAGUAG